rnacentral:lncRNA from 1 species
UGACAUGGGAGACCCGAGCUGUUGUUCAUGUAAUAUUUCCUCCUUUCCCUCCCUCCCUUUCUAGCAUGCCAUGGCCUCUGAGUUCUCAACAUUUGUUCAGUUGUUCGGGCAGAGGAGACACUUUUUUGAAGCAUCAAGUGAGUUGAAAUGUGCAAAUUCUCUUGGUGCCCAUUAAUUCCGUGUGUGACUAAGAAAUCGUUUUCUUCUCCGUAGCUGAGAAACCAGUAAAGAAAUUAUGUGUCAGGAGCAAGAAUCUUUUUCGAUGAAAGCCGCUACCUUUCAUAUAUAAAUUGUCUUCCUUUUCAAGAAAGAAAUCUGUAGCCUUGAAUCAAUAGAUAUACAUAAGUUUUAUGCUGAUGUUAUCUAUAAUAAGAGUACUUGAAAUUGAUAGAGUUGCCAUUAGAUUUUCCGAGAAGAGGCAGACAUUAUAUCACCUGUCCAUUUAAUCUUUCUCUGUUUAUUAUGUUGCUUCUCUUUUUUUGUCUUAUUCUUAUUCCAAUCAUUGCAUUAGGAUUCAUUGCCAAUUUAUUCGGUCCUUAUUUAAUUUGGAUGGCGCUGAACAAUUUUUGUGGUACCUGGUACCUUUCAUGAUCAAGAAGAGCUCACAUGUGACUAAAUAGACAUGGUGUAUUGUUUAAGCAAGCAUACUUAGCCUCUUUGGACUAUCAAUAGAAGCUUGUGUCCCCUUUGGACUAGGGAAGGUAUGUUAAAUUGUACCAACCAUGUCAUUAGACCGUAACAGAAGAAAAAAAUGCAUCAAAUUAUAUGUUUUUAUUUACUGCGAUCGGUACGAAGGGCAGUUGACAUUCAUACUAAAUUUUUGGCUAUAAUCUAUUCAACCUGGAUGUAAAUCAUUGCAUGGUAAUGUUUCUAUGUGCAUAAUCUGGAAUGCUCUAUGCAAAUGCAUAUGACAGGGAAGGACCAUGCCGUGAGCUUACUGAUAAACCUGAGCAGCUAGCUAGGCUCUGUAGUAACAUCUUAAUUGUCUGCUUAGAUUGCUUAUCUGUUCAGUCAUUCCUUAUUUUUGCCUGCUUAGUAUAAAUUGUAUGUUCUAUUAUGCAGCUCCUGCUGCUGCUAUAUUGACCUCUACUUGAAGUCAGGAGCCAAAUUGAAGAUCAAAUUCAGGUUAGUAAAAAAGGGCAGUCUUUUUGUUAUUGGUGUACCAUUUUGUACAUUGUCAACUGUACGCUCCUUGCGAUACUAAAAACUAUAUGUAAUGUAGGGAUUUGUUUCACCAUCAUCAGAAAAACUCCUAGACAUGCCUCCUAAAAGACAUGUCUUUUAUGAUAGUUCUGGAUCUGAAUGAGACCCUUUUAUACUCAGAUUGGAAGGUGAUCUUGUGUUUUCUGCGAAGUUUAGAAUCUCGUUGUUUGCUAUGCCUGCCGGCUGCCGCUCAUGUACUGCACAUGCAGUGUGAGUAAAUCUCUUAAUAUAUCACACAUUUGCACUUCAAAUUUGCUAAAACAACCUGUAUAACUGAAACUCAAAAGUGCUCGUGCUUAAAAUAUGUACAUCCAAUGGGGAUAGAUGCUUGAUUCUGUGUCUAUAUGAGCCUUCCUAUUCGUUUUAUAGCAUGUAGGCUUUAUUUAUUGGCCCAGCUCCCCAGGUGCUAAAUAUUGGUUGAUCAAGAAUUUAUAAUAAAAAAUUCCAUAUAUCUCUACUAUUAAUGGGGAGUACAUUGUCGUUUCGUGUCGUUAGCCUCCCUCACCCCAUCGAUCGACAGGGCAUCGCAUGCCCAACACGGCAUCUCCCAUAAAUCAGGGAAGUCAGGAGCCACCGCGUGCAUCCGUGCCAGAUCCGGCAGGCGGCGCGUGCAUUCAUGCUCGAUCCGGGCACCACGGUUGAGGCUUGGUGGAUGAGCAUGUGGCAGUUGCUUGGUUGUGGAGGAGGGGAAGGGAGUACGGGAUGGCCCCGUUCUUUUUUUGCCCGUUCUGGAUGGUAGGGGGAUGGAUCACGGGCGGAUGGAGGUCUAGGGAGCACAGGGCGGCAACUUCACCCUUGCCACGGUCAGGGAAGAGGAAGGAAGCCUGAGCUCUCUAUGCGGCUUCAUAAGUGUGGCUGGAGCACGGGCGUUGCGACGAGGGUGCGGGUGGAGCAGGGCCAUCCGUUGAUAGGAGGGAGCUGGGGGAGGGGUGACGCAAGCCACUUUGUGGGAGAUGGAUGUAGAAGAGGAGGAGCAGCGCUGGAUGGCAGUGGCGGAGCGUGGCAAGCAAUCAAGGGGGGGAGGGGCAAAUUUUCAACUGAAAGCAAAUUUUAAAUUCAAAAUAGCCUAGAAGUAAAAUUACACUGUAAUCGAACAUAUCUUGCUCCUUCCAUCCUUUGGCAGCUUGGCCCAUCAACGGUCGUCAGCUCAUCGUCUUGGCGAUUGCGCGCAUAGCACGAGAUGGUCCAUGUAGGCGCAGCAGCAAGCAGGGGGCGAAUCGACCUAAUGCCAACAUAUGCAGCAGGCAGCCACCAGCCGGGUGAAUCCAUCUAAUGUAGCAGUAAGCAAGCAUUAUGUGCACAUGUAGCAGGAAGCUGCUCGUACAACAUUCAAUCAAGUUGCAUGGAGUAGCUAACUAGCUUCACACACGAAUAUGCAUGUGUGUAUCCUUCGAGGGUAUUCAUCUAAUAAUAAUGGGGUUGGGAGGAGUAUUAUUCACUAAUGGGUUGGAUCAAACACUUAGUAUGCAUAGUAGUAAUUUUUUGCUUGCAGUUUUGGAAGGCGGGGUCGUGAUCUGUUUGGCCUCUAUGAGGCUCCGCCAGUGCUGGAUGGUGAGGAGUGGUGAUGUGUAGAGAAGAGAAGGGGCACCUUGCUUGAGAUAUCUCGAUGGGGAUUGGGUGCCGUUGCUACUGCUUUUUUUCUGAACGAGAUGUGGCGGCACCGAUAUGGUCUGAGCAGGGGAGCACGGCAAAAAUGCUAAUUGCUCCCUGACUCUCUUUCAUUUGAUUGCAGAAUAUUGUGCUUACUCCCAUCUCUCGCGCUCUUGCAGGCUUUCAAAAGUGAGGCUGGGGCGCGGAGGUGAUGCCAAAUUGGCGUGUGAAUGUAAGGAUUGAAAUGAGAUAGUUAUCUUCUUUCAGUUGUUUGCUUCUGCUUAUUGAUAGAGAUAAUUAUUCCCUAUUUAGUAGAU